GGCGCGGUGUCCGAGUGGUUAAGGAGUUAGACUGAAAAUCUAAUGGGCUCUGCCUUCAUGGGUUCGAAUCCCAUUCGCGCUG